AUACGUAGGUGGCGAGCGUUGUUCGGAUUUAUUGGGCGUAAAGGGUCCGCAGGGGGUUGAUUAAGUCUGACGUGAAAUCUCUGAGCUCAACUCAGAAAUUGCGUUGGAGACUGGUUGACUAGAGUGUUGGAGAGGUAAUUGGAAUUCCAGGUGUAGCGGUGGAAUGCGUAGAUAUCUGGAAGAACAUCGAAAGCGAAGGCAGAUUACUGGACAACAACUGACCCUCAGGGACGAAAGCAUGGGGAGC
rnacentral:rRNA from 1 species